CCUACGGGUGGCAGCAGUGAGGAAUAUUGGUCAAUGGACGAGAGUCUGAACCAGCCAAGUCGCGUGAAGGAUGACUGCCCUCUGGGUUUUAACCUUCUUUUAUAUGGGAAUAAAAUGUUCCACGUGUGGGACUUUGUAUUUACCAUAUGAUUAAGGAUCGGCUAACUCCGUGCCAGCAGCCGCGGUAAUACGGAGGAUCCGAGCGUUAUCCGGAUUUAUUGGGGUUAAAGGGAGCGUAGGUGGAUUGUUAAGUCAGUUGUGAAAGUUUGGGGCUCAACCGUGAAAUUGCAGUUGAAACUGGCAGUCUUGAGUGCAGUAGAGGUGAGCGGAAUUCGUGGUGUAGCGGUGAAAUGCUUAGAUAUCACGAAGAACACCGGUUGCGAAGGCGACUCACUGGACUGCAACUGACACUGAGGCUCGAAAGUGUGGGUAUCAAACAGGAUUAGAUACCCGGGUAGUC
rnacentral:rRNA from 1 species